rnacentral:rRNA from 1 species
UCAGUCGACUCCUACGGGAGGCAGCAGUGGGGAAUAUUGCACAAUGGGCGCAAGCCUGAUGCAGCAACGCCGUGUGAGUGAAGAAGGUUUUCGGAUCGUAAAACUCUGUCCUAAGGGAAGAAACAAAUGACGGUACCUUAGGAGGAAGCCCCGGCUAACUACGUGCCAGCAGCCGCGGUAAUACGUAGGGGGCAAGCGUUAUCCGGAAUCACUGGGCGUAAAGGGUGCGUAGGCGGCUUAGCAAGCCAGGGGUGAAAGGCAUUGGCUCAACCAAUGUAAGCCUUUGGAACUGUUAAGCUUGAGUGCAGGAGAGGUAAGUGGAAUUCCUAGUGUAGAGGUGAAAUUCGUAGAUAUUAGGAGGAACACCAGUGGCGAAGGCGACUUACUGGACUGUAACUGACGCUGAUGCACGAAAGCGUGGGUAGCGAACAGGAUUAGAUACCCUGGUAG